rnacentral:lncRNA from 1 species
UUUUUUUUGUUUUUUGUUUGAAAAUGCAAAUGAUGCGUGAAUAUUUUUAUUUUGUUUUAUUAAUGCAAAGCUCUUUAGUUAUUUGUGUUUAUUUUAUUGUAAGAAAUACGUAACAAUUUACAGUUGCAAUCAAGAAUAAGGAAAACGCACAUAGUGAAAUCAACGGAGCUUCAUUCAUCCUUUGAAUGGAAAUAUUGCGAGUACAAGUACAAAUGGAAAUUGAAAAUAAAAG